AUGGUGUCGGUGUGCAGGCCGUGGCCUGCUGUGGCCAUAGCACUUCUGGCUCUGCUGGUCUGCCUGGGGGCGCUGGUCGACACCUGCCCCAUCAAACCCGAGGCUCCUGGCGAAGACGAGUCCCUGGAGGAGCUGAGCCACUAUUAUGCUUCCCUGUGCCACUACCUCAACGUGGUCACCAGACAGUGGUGGGAGGGUGCAGACAUGUGGUGA
rnacentral:lncRNA from 1 species